UCCGCUCAGGAAGGCGGGUCUGGUGAAUUCUGGGAAAUUUAGUCCCGAAGUCUCGUGAGGUCGCAGGCACUUCGGUUCUGGGAGUGAAUGUAAAGGUUGCUUCCAGAUUGCGCGGAGGGAGAAGAGGCUUUGACUUCCUCCAGGACUUCGGCACGAUCGUGGCAUUCAUAGUAUUCUUCUUCCCCCGGCCUGACUUCUCAAAAAGGACCGCACCGAGCGAGAGGGGGUGACUGCUUGGCUGCUGACAGCAAAGCUCCACGCACUGCCAGGCACAGUUCUGCCUUCCUGGGAUCUGUAUUCCUCAGGACUCUAUACCUCCAGAAGUAGGAGGAAAAAUGACCACAUUUAA